AUUGAACGCUGGCGGCAGGCUUAACACAUGCAAGUCGAGCGAGCGGCGUACGUGUGAGUAAUGUCUGGGAAACUGCCUGAGGGAGGGGGUUAACUACUGGAAACGGUAGCUAAUACCGUAUACUGACGGAUGGGAUUGCGCCUGAUUAGCUAGUUGGAGGGGUAACGGCUCACCAAGGCGAUGAUCAGUAGCCGGUCGGAGAGGAUGAGCAGUCACAUUGGGACUGAGACACGGCCCAGACUCCUACGGGAGGCAGCAGUAGGGAAUCUUGGGCAAUGGGGGGAACCCUGACCGAGCAACGCCGCGUGUGUGAAGAAGGGUUCGGGUUGUAAAGCACUUUCAGCGAGGAGGCGUUACUCGCAGAAGAAGCACCGGCUAACUCCGUGCCAGCAGCCGCGGUAAUUC
rnacentral:rRNA from 1 species